UUUACGUCAGUAGAAGCGGAAGAUGGCAUGAGAGCGAUUUUUAAAGUAGAAAACAAAGCAGAGAAAAUCAGGAGUAAUAAAGCCCAAUUAAAGACGCACACAACACAACAGGCGAUUGUUAUGGACAGGAAAAAAAGCAAACCUCGCAGGAUUGAAUGAUAAUAUGUAGGAUAAACUGAUUGGUCAACAUAAAUCAUCCAAACGCAUGCAGAUAUUGUAUAGUCAGAGUUUUUGAUAGCUGAGUGCUCAGUAUAAAGCAUGUUUCAACUGAGUAAAACUGCACACAAAGAUAUAUACACAAACUCUGGGUAUCAAAGGAUUUCAAAGUAAAUUGUCAAAAAAGAUAAUGUGCACUACAAUCUUAAGCCUAAGAGUGACUUAUUCUGAGGGAUUCAUUGGUCCAGACUUUUGCUAAAGGGACCAUAUAUUUCAAAGAAAAUUUAGUCUGCAACCAAGGAGAUACUGAAGAAUUACACUGAAAUAUUUAUUCUAAGAAGAUUCUGGCCAUCAUUCCAUUUCAGGACCAUGGACAGCAAGCAGAUAAACAAGAAAACAGGUCUAAAAACGUGAAAUUCUCCAGUUCUUAACAAGCGAUAGACAUUGAUUUUACUAAAUUUUCGUUUUGUAAUAUACACUUUAAUGAUUUUGGGUAUAUUUACUCAUGAUAUGACUUUCAUUGGUAUACAUGACAGUACUUAUACAUUUAUGAAAUCAAAUGUCCAACAAUUUGUAUAAUUCUUAAGAAGAAUAUAUGUAUCGACAAAUGUUAAUAA